UGCCGCGUGUGUGAAGAAGGCCUUCGGGUUGUAAAGCACUUUUGUACGGGAAGAAAUCGCAUGGGUUAAUACCUUGUGCGGAUGACGGUACCGUAAGAAUAAGCACCGGCUAACUUCGUGCCAGCAGCCGCGGUAAUACGAAGGGUGCAAGCGUUACUCGGAAUUACUGGGCGUAAAGCGUGCGUAGGCGGUUUGUUAAGUCAGAUGUGAAAGCCCCGGGCUCAACCUGGGAAUGGCAUUUGAUACUGGCGAACUAGAGUACGGUAGAGGGUGGUGGAAUUCCCGGUGUAGCGGUGAAAUGCGUAGAGAUCGGGAGGAACAUCUGUGGCGAAGGCGGCCACCUGGACCAGUACUGACGCUGAGGCACGAAAGCGUGGGGAGCAAACAGGAUUAGAUACCCUGGUAGUCCACGCCCUAAACGAUGCGAACUGGACGUUGGGCUCAAUUGAGAGUUCAGUGUCGAAGCUAACGCGUUAAGUUCGCCGCCUGGGGAGUACGGUCGCAAGACUGAAACUCAAAGGAAUUGACGGGGGCCCGCACAAGCGGUGGAGUAUGUGGUUUAAUUCGAUGCAACGCGCAGAACCUUACCUGGCCUUGACAUCCACGGAACUUACCAGAGAUGG
rnacentral:rRNA from 1 species